GAGUUUGAUCAUGGCUCAGGAUGAACGCUGGCGGCGUGCUUAACACAUGCAAGUCGAACGGUGAAAGAGGAGCUUGCUCCUCUGGAUCAGUGGCGAACGGGUGAGUAACACGUGAGUAACCUGCCCCAGACUCUGGGAUAAGCACUGGAAACGGUGUCUAAUACCGGAUACGAGCUUCAGCCGCAUGGCUAGGAGCUGGAAAGAAUUUCGGUCUGGGAUGGACUCGCGGCCUAUCAGCUAGUUGGUGAGGUAACGGCCCACCAAGGCGACGACGGGUAGCCGGCCUGAGAGGGUGACCGGCCACACCUGGGACUGAGACACGGCCCAGACUCCUACGGGAGGCAGCAGUGGGGAAUAUUGCACAAUGGGCGCAAGCCUGAUGCAGCAACGCCGCGUGAGGGACGACGGCCUCGGUUGUAA
rnacentral:rRNA from 1 species